rnacentral:tRNA from 1 species
GGGCCCGUAGCGCAGUCAGGACAGCGCGGCGGCCUGCGGAGCCGUAGGUCCCGGGUUCAAAUCCCGGCGGGCCCGCCA